GACGAACGCUGGCGGCGUGCUUAACACAUGCAAGUUGAACGGUCCGGCAUGGAAGCCUGCUGAAGUGUCGGGUAGUAGCGGACGGGUGAGUAAUGCAUGAGAAGCUGCCAUUGGGAGGGGGACAACAGUUGGAAACGGCUGCUAAUACCCCAUAUGCCGGAAGGUGAAACGGAGUGAUCCGCCCGAUGAGGUGCUCAUGUCCUAUCAGCUAGUUGGUGAGGUAACGGCUCACCAAGGCGACGACGGGUAGCCGGCCUGAGAGGGUGACCGGCCACACUGGAACUGAGAUACGGUCCAGACUCCUACGGGAGGCAGCAGUGGGGAAUAUUGGGCAAUGGGGGCAACCCUGACCCAGCGACGCCGCGUGAGGGAAGACGGCCUUCGGGUUGUAAACCUCUUUUGUACGGGAAGAAGGACGUGACGGUACCGUGCGAAUAAGUCCCGGCUAACUACGUGCCAGCCGCCGCGGUAAAAC
rnacentral:rRNA from 1 species